rnacentral:rRNA from 1 species
AACCCCCGCAAUGUGAGAAAUCGCGACGGGGGGAUCCCAAGUGCCAUUCUUAACGGGAUGGCUUUUCAUUAGUGUAAAGAGCUUUUGGAAUAAGAGCUGGGCAAGACCGGUGCCAGCCGCCGCGGUAACACCGGCAGCUCUAGUGGUAGCAAUUUUUAUUGGGCCUAAAGCGUCCGUAGCCGGUUUAAUAAGUCUCUGGUGAAAUCCUGUAGCUUAACUGUGGAAUUGCUGGAGAUACUAUUAGACUUGAGAUCGGGAGAGGUUAGAGGUACUCCCAGGGUAGAGGUGAAAUUCUGUAAUCCUGGGAGGACCGCCUGUUGCGAAGGCGUCUAACUGGAACGAUUCUGACGGUGAGGGACGAAAGUUAGGGGCGCGAACCGGAUUAGAUACCCGGGUAGUCCUAACUGUAAACGAUGCGGACUUGGUGUUGGGGUGGCUUUGAGCUGCUCCAGUGCCGAAGGGAAGCUGUUAAGUCCGCCGCCUGGGAAGUACGGUCGCAAGACUGAAACUUAAAGGAAUU